rnacentral:rRNA from 1 species
UGGGGAAUAUUGCACAAUGGGCGGAAGCCUGAUGCAGCAACGCCGCGUGCGGGAUGACGGCCUUCGGGUUGUAAACCGCUUUCAGUCGGGACGAAUGUGACGGUACCGACAGAAGAAGCACCGGCUAACUACGUGCCAGCAGCCGCGGUGAUACGUAGGGUGCGAGCGUUGUCCGGAUUUAUUGGGCGUAAAGAGCUCGUAGGUGGUUUGUUGCGUCGGAAGUGAAAACUUGGGGCUUAACUCCAGGCUUGCUUUCGAUACGGGCAGACUUGAGGGAUGUAGGGGAGAACGGAAUUCCUGGUGGAGCGGUGGAAUGCGCAGAUAUCAGGAGGAACACCGGUGGCGAAGGCGGUUCUCUGGACAUUUCCUGACGCUGAGGAGCGAAAGCGUGGGGAGCAAACAGG